UGGUGAUGAGGGAAGGAGAAGUGAAGAAACUAUGCAGAUCUGUACCAAGAAAAUACCCUAAGCAAGAGCAAAUUCAUGCUUCCUCAGCAAAAAUAAGUCAACAUAAAUGAAAGGAGCCUGUUCUCAUAAUCCACAAAGGUAUACUCUUUGCUGUGUAAGGAGCUGGCUGGAGGGCCGGGCCCAGAGGGUGGUAGUGAAUGGAGUUAAAUCCAGCUGGCAACCCGUCAUGGUGUUCCUCAGGGGUCAGUACUGGGGUCUGUCCUGUACAAUAUCUUUACUGAUGACCUGGAUGAGAGCACUGAGUACACCCUCAGGGACAGAGUACAGAAGAUCCAUUCCUACCUCCUGCUCCAGCCUUCCUGCUCCCUCCAGACAGUGCAUCCCAUGGAGACCCUGGAGCAAAUUUCUGCAUUCAGGAGACUGCUGGUUGCUUGUGUAUAGCCCCAUCAUCACCAAGCAAAGACAGUCACUGCUAACACCAUCUUCCUGAACUGAUGUUUUUGGAGGGCUUUAAUACUAAAAAUUGAUCAUAUUGGAAAGAAGUGUAUGAAAUAAAAUAUUGCCUAUAUGUGAUAAAUAAUAAAUAAAGAGAAC
ensembl:lncRNA